CACGUAGGGGACGAGCGUUGUCCGGAUUCAUUGGGCGUAAAGCGCGCGUAGGCGGCUCGGAAAGUCGGGCGUGAAAUGCCGGGGCUCAACCCCGGGACUGCGUCCGAUACUUCCGAGCUGGAGGUAGGUAGGGGAGAUCGGAAUUCCUGGUGUAGCGGUGAAAUGCGUAGAUAUAGGAAGGAAUACCAGUGGCGAAGGCGGCCUCCUGGAUCAACACUGACGCUGAGGUGCGAAAGCGUGGGGAGCAAACAGG
rnacentral:rRNA from 1 species